ACUACCAUUCUCCACCACCACCAGUAAAAUCCCCUCCACCUCCUUAUUACUACCACUCACCACCACCACCGGUUAAAUCUCCACCACCACCAUACUACUAUCAUUCACCACCUCCUCUGGUGAAGUCUCCUCCACCACCAUACUAUUACCAUUCACCACCACCUCCAGUAAAAUCUCCUCCCCCCCCAUACUACUAUCACUCCCCACCUCCUCCAGUGAAGUCUCCUCCGCCACCUUACUAUUAUCACUCCCCACCUCCUCCAGUAAAAUCACCACCACCACCAUAUUAUUACCACUCUCCACCUCCUCCCGUGAAAUCCCCCCCACCUCCAUACUACUACCACUCACCACCCCCUCCGGUAAAAUCACCCCCACCACCAUAUUACUAUCACUCCCCACCUCCACCAGUGAAAUCCCCACCACCACCGUACUACUACCAUUCUCCACCCCCACCGGUAAAAUCUCCGCCACCACCAUACUAUUACCACUCCCCACCUCCUCCGGUGAAAUCUCUACCACCACCGUACUAUUACCAUUCACCACCUCCUCCGGUGAAAUCUCCUCCUCCACCAUACUACUAUCACUCACCUCCUCCACCAGUAAAAUCUCCUCCGCCACCGUACUAUUACCACUCUCCACCUCCUCCAGUGAAGUCGCCUCCACCUCCUUAUUACUACCACUCACCUCCUCCUCCGGUGAAAUCCCCACCACCACCAUAUUAUUACCACUCACCACCCCCACCCGUCAAAUCUCCUCCACCUCCAUAUUAUUACCACUCACCACCUCCUCCGGUGAAAUCUCCACCACCACCAUAUUAUUACCACUCACCUCCUCCUCCGGUGAAAUCUCCACCACCACCAUAUUACUACCAUUCACCUCCCCCUCCAGUCAAAUCUCCACCACCACCAUAUUACUACCAUUCACCUCCCCCUCCAGUGAAAUCCCCACCACCACCAUAUUACUACCAUUCACCACCUCCUCCAGUGAAAUCUCCACCACCACCAUACUACUACAACUCUCCACCACCACCAGUAAAAUCUCCCCCACCUCCCGUCUACAUCUACGCUUCUCCCCCACCUCCUACCCAUUACUAGGCUCGUCAAAUUCAACCAAGUUUCCCCAUUAUUCAAGUAAGUCCCAAGGCUCCAAUAUUCUAAGUAUGCUCCAUAUC
rnacentral:lncRNA from 1 species